ACUUGGUGCAGAAAAAGAAGCAUGAGAAGAUGAAGUACAACAUGGCUCUCCUGCUAUUCAUGGUUAACAAUACAGCAUAGAAUUAAAGAAGGGACUUGCACGGUCUUGCUGCAGGCUGAAAGUGGAGAGAAUGAGUGCUAGUAGUUUGGCAGUGAGAAAACGAGUCCAGCAAAAGUAGAAUGGACUCAACAAAGCCAUGAUCUCAAUUAUAACAGCUUUAUAAGAAGUCGUGGUACUGCUGCAAUUCUGGCAGUUGUAAUUUUGAAAACAGCAGGAUUUUUUUUCUAUCUAUCUUUUCUAUUCCUUGUAAUUCCAUAAGUCGGUGAUUAACCCUCCCUCCCCCCCAUGAUUUAUUACAGUAUUUUUAGAAGAAGAAAAAACCAAGAGCUGUUUUUGACUAGAACCACAGCCACCUGGAAGUCAGCAGAAUGCAGCUGCUGCCCACAGUAUGGCAGUCUAUGGAACUAAUUAUUUUGUUCAUGUUAUUUCUUUCAAGUGUGUGUGUUGCUUAAUAUUACACAUGACAGGGGGAAAUUCCUGCUGCACGUGCUUUGAAGGAGGAAGAGAUAGCUCAGUGUCAGUGACAGAGGGCAGAUCAAGCCCUAUGGAAGUACUAUCAGGAUUAUCCAAUAACCCCACUCUGCUACUGGUCACCUGGAAGCAGUAUGAGCCAGCAUCCUCUGCACGGAAGCUCAAACUGGAAGAUGUCCUGAAAUUAAUGCUGCCAUGAGGGGAGCCAUGGAGAGCAGCAGCAGCAGCAGUAUGCCACUGGAUGAUAUGGAUGCUUGAAAUCACAGUACAAACAUGUCUGUGAUAGGUUUGAUAAGCGUGAUUCACAUCAUCCACUUUUGUUUCUCUGUAGAUCACUACCAAGCUUUUGCCUUACUACAAAUCAUAUCUUCUUUCUCCUUUCUUCAUUGUAGUUAAGAACAAUAUCUUCACAGAAACUAUUUCCAUACAAGUCCCCAUCAAUUCAACCAACCUCUAAAGAGAUAUAACCAUACAGCUACAUCUGUAGUGGAAUUGCUAAGUCAGGACUUGAAGCAGUGAUGGAGCACCUGGUGAGAAGGCAGAGCCAACCCAAUGGAGCUCAGGUGCAUGCAAUGUAGUGAGCAAUGGAAGGGCUGGAGCCAGGAUCCACCCCUUUCCAGACCUCAUUUCAAGGCUGGCAGUGAAACUGAUGGCAUCUCUCUGUAGAUCCUGGUGUACCUGAGGCCUUCUGAAGCUAACCUCUGCUAACAAUGAAACCCAAAUUGGAUCAGUUUGGAGCUUUCAGAGUUCCACAAACUGGUAAGGAAGGCUGGAAAAGAGACUGCCAGACAGGAUGCAAUAACAGCUCUACAAAGUUUGAUUCACACUGUUUAUACCUCAACAGGCAACUCAAAUGUUGGGGGAUCCAGACUACAUCAUAAAUCCAAGAAAAUACUCAUAAAAGCAGCUGAUGUUUCUCUAAUCAAGUGUGAAAUGCUGAUAAUUCCUUCACACUGAGAGAAUAAAAUACAGUAUUGGUACACAUCACCAAUGUCAAUAUUUCUCAGACACGGGGUGUAUUCUAGAGUAGUCAUUAACUCAUUAGGAUUCUGUUGAAGAUGGCUGUUAAUUACCCAGAGCAGCUGUCCCUUACUUUAAAUGCAAAUGUUCUGACAGGGGAAGUAAAUUUUGCUAUAGAAACAAACAACAAGAACCACUGUCACAUUCUGUGCUGGUUACAGGCCUGGUCCAGGAAAGGAUCCUGGUUAUUUUAUUAAAGGAACACCCAUAUUAUUGAGGAAUCUGAAAACUGGGUAUCCACUAA